rnacentral:rRNA from 1 species
CCGAAACUGUGGAUGAACCUCUUUAGAGGUUCGUGGUAGGAGAGCGUUCUAAGGGCGGUGAAGUCAGACCGGAAGGACUGGUGGAGCGCUUAGAAGUGAGAAUGCCGGUAUGAGUAGCGAAAGAAGGGUGAGAAUCCCUUCCACCGAAUAUCUAAGGUUUCCUGAGGAAGGCUCGUCCGCUCAGGGUUAGUCGGGACCUAAGCCGAGGCCGAUAGGCGUAGGCGAUGGACAACAGGUAGAGAUUCCUGUACCAGUGCUAAUUGUUUAACCGAUGGGGUGACACAGAAGGAUAGGGAAUCGCACGAAUGGAAAUGUGCGUCCAAGCAGUGAGUGUGAGAAGUAGGCAAAUCCGCUUCUCGCGAAGCAUGAGCUGUGAUGGGGAAGGAAAUUAAGUACGGAAGUUCCUGAUUUCACGCUGUCAAGAAAAGCCUCUAGGAAGAGUAGUACUGCCCGUACCGCAAACCGACACAGGUAGAUGAGGAGAGAAUCCUAAGGUGAGCGAGAGAACUCUCGUUAAGGAACUCGGCAAAAUGACCCCGUAACUUCGGGAGAAGGGGUGCUCUAUUAGGGUGCAAGCCCGAGAGAGCCGCAGUGAAUAGGCCCAGGCGACUGUUUAGCAAAAACACAGGUCUCUGCAAAACCGUAAGGUG